rnacentral:rRNA from 1 species
UAAUACGUAGGUGGCAAGCGUUGUCCGGAAUUAUUGGGCGUAAAGCGCGCGCAGGCGGCUAUGUAAGUCGGGUGUUAAAGCCCGGGGCUCAACCCCGGUACGCACCCGAAACUGCGUGGCUUGAGUGCAGGAGAGGAAAGCGGUAUUCCACGUGUAGCGGUGAAAUGCGUAGAGAUGUGGAGGAACACCAGUGGCGAAGGCGGCUUUCUGGCCUGUAACUGACGCUGAGGCGCGAAAGCGUGGGGAGCAAACAGGAUUAGAUACCCUGGUAGUCCACGCCGUAAACGAUGAGUGCUAGGUGUUGGGGGUUUUGACACCCUCAGUGCCGCAGCUAACGCAAUAAGCACUCCGCCUGGGGAGUACGCUCGCAAGAGUGAA